UGUGUUUUGCAUGAAAAUAAAAAAUGAAGUUUUUGCUCUGUUAAUGGAAGAGAAGUAAUUAAUAAGCAUAAAGGUUGUUGCUGAUGUGAUGCUUUGCUAUCUGACAUUAUAAUCAACACUAGAGAAACUCUUGUUUUCACUGUUGUUACAGCUGAGUAGUUACAAACAUUAAAAAUUCCAUGUUCUGUGGAGGAUUGGAUGUUUAUAGGGCAUCAAAAACUUACGGGGAAAAGUUGCUCGUCUCUGCACAUUAUUAAGACACGUUGAAAGGAGGGAACCAUAGUCAUUCUUUCUCGACCAAAGAGCUGGACGCAAAUAAAACAAAUGAUAGAAGUCAUUC